rnacentral:rRNA from 1 species
AUUGAACGCUGGCGGCAUGCCUUACACAUGCAAGUCGAACGGCAGCACGGGUGCUUGCACCUGGUGGCGAGUGGCGAACGGGUGAGUAAUACAUCGGAACGUACCUUAUCGUGGGGGAUAACGCAGCGAAAGUUGCGCUAAUACCGCAUACGCCCUGAGGGGGAAAGCGGGGGACCGUAAGGCCUCGCGCGAUUAGAGCGGCCGAUGUCUGAUUAGCUUGUUGGUGAGGUAAAAGCUCACCAAGGCGAUGAUCAGUAGCUGGUCUGAGAGGACGAUCAGCCACACGGGGACUGAGACACGGCCCAGACUCCUACGGGAGGCAGCAGUGGGGAAUUUUGGACAAUGGGGGCAACCCUGAUCCAGCAAUGCCGCGUGAGUGAAGAAGGCCUUCGGGUUGUAAAGCUCUUUUGUCAGGGAAGAAACAGCAGCUCUAACACAGUCUGCGAAUGACGGUACCAGAAGAAUAAGCACCGGCUAACUACGUGCCAGCCGCCGCCGUAAUAC